GAAUCCAUGAGCAGGCAAGAGACAACCUGGCAAACUGAAACAUCUUAGUAGCCAGAGGAAAGGAAUGCAAAAGCGAUUCCAAUAGUAGCGGCGAGCGAAAUGGGAGCAGCCUAAACCGUGAAAACGGGGUUGUGGGAGAGCAAUACAAGCGUUGUGCUGCUAGGCGAAGCAGUUGAGUGCCGCACCCUAGAUGGCUAAAGUCCAGUAGCUGAAAGCAUCACUAUCUUACGCUCUGACCCGAGUAGCACGGGGCACAUGGAAUCCCAUGUGAAUCAGCAAUGACCACCUUGCAAGGCUAAAUACUCCUGGGUGACUGAUAGAGAAGUAGUACCAUGAGGGAAAGGUGAAAAGAACCCCCAGUGGGUAGUGAAAUAAAACAUGAAACCAUGCUGAGCUCCCAAGCAGUGGGAGGGGAACGUGAUCUCUGAACGCGUGCCUGUUAAAGAAUGAGCCAGCGACUCAUAGGAAGUGGCUUGGUUAAGGUAACAGAACCCACCGGAGCCGUAGCGAAAGCGAGUCUUAAUAGGGCAAUUGUCACUGCUUAUGGUCCCGAACCUGGGUGAUCUAUCCAUGACCAGGAUGAAGCUUGGAUGAAACUAAGAAGAGGUCCGAACCGACUGAUGUUGAAGAAUUAGUGGAUGAGUUGUGGUUAGGGGUGAAAUGCCACUCGAACCCAGAGCUAGUUGGUUCUCCCCGAAAUGCGUUGAAGUGCAACAAUUGACUAGACAUCUAGGGGUAAAGCACUGUUUCGGCGCAGGCUGCACGAGCGGUACCAAAUCGAGGCAAACUCUGAAUACUAGAUAUGACCAAAAAAUAACAGGGGUCAAGGUCGGCCAUUGAGACGAUGGGGGAUAAGCUUCAUCAUCGAGAGGGAAACAACCCAGAUCAUCAGCUAAGGCCCCUAAAUGAUCGCUCACUGAUGUGCAAAGACAGCCAGGAGGUUUGCCUAGAAGCGGCCACCCUUUAAAGAGUGCGUAAUAGCUCACUGAUCGAGCACCCUUGCGCUGAAGAUGAACGGGGCUAAGCGAUCUACCGAAGUUGUGGGAUGUCAAAAUGCAUCGGUAGGGGAGCAUUCCGCCUUAGAGGGAAGCAACGGUGAAAGCGGGGGCCGACCAAGCGGAAGCGAGAAUGUCAGCUUGAGUAACGAAAACAUUGCUGAGAAUCCAAUGCCCCGAAAACCCAAGGUUUCCUCCGCAAGGUUCGUCCACGGAGGGAGAGUCGAGGCCUAAGAUUAGGCCGAAAGGCGUAGUCGAUGGACAACAGAUCAAUAUUCCUGUACUACCCCUUGUUGGUACGGAGGGAUGGAGGAGGCUAGGUUAGCCGAAAGAUGGUUAUAGGUUUGUAACAUCCCAAAUUUGCAAUUUUGAAUGUUAUACACUAGAUCAUCAUGCAUAGCAUAUUUUCUUGCAUUUUGGUCGAUCCUAGAAAUUUCACGCAACUCAAGGACCCUGGAGAGAGUUGGAGAUUUCGUUAUUUUCAUAUUUGAGUUUUCUCAAAUUUUGAAAAGAGGAUCAUUUGAUUUAUUUUAUUUCAUCUUCAAUUAUUUUUCCAAUAUAAAAAAUAAUGAGAGAGGGAAUAAUAUGACUUUCCCAAAUUUAGGAAAAAUGAAGAUUUAAUGAAUAAAUCAAAUUUUGGUUUUGCCGGAGUUUUGUUUGCUUUUUAAUUGGAUAGGGAAAAAUGAGCAUUUUCAAAAAAUUACAUUUUAGGCCCGGAGAAAAGUUCAUUUUGUUCGACUCAUUUUUAGGAGUCGGGGAAAAUUUACUUUACGAAUUUUGGAGUUCAUUUAGUUUUUUUUUCUUUGUUUUUCUGCGCGCGGAACUAUUUAAAAAAAAGGACCAAGCCCAGCCGGGCCAAAGGCCCAGCCAGCCGGCCGCCUCCCCAGCCUCCCAGCCCCGCGCGCGCCAGGUGCCAGGCGCCAGCACCCCAGGCCGCCGCCUCUCGCUCGAGACGAGUCCCAGCGGGACUCUGGCCACCGUAUCCCCCCUCUUUCCUUUGUUUUGUUUUCCUUUUCCUACUCUAUUUCUUGUCCCCUACCCCAAGAAACCCCCUCCUCUCACCUAUAUAAAUACCCCCACACCCCCCCUCCAAAACAUCAAAUCAAACCCCAAGCCCCCUCUCCUCCUAAGCCGCAGCAAGCAGCAGCGCGCAGCCCCAAGCCCCUCUCCUCCUUAGCCGCGUCCCACCCCGCGCCCCUCACCACCGCCGCCGCCGCCCAACGCCGCCGUUCGCCGGAGCCCCUCGCUGGAACCUUGCCGAGGUAGCCGCGCCGCAUCUCUCCUUUUCCCUCGGUUCAGUUUUUCUUAUAAACCAUUACGAUUCUUUUCUUCUCUUCCGAUUCGUUUUCUUUCCGGUACUUUUCUAAACCGUUCCGGUUUCUAGAUCGGUUUUUCGUUUCGGUCUUUUUUCUGAAAAUCCUAGAUCGGUUUUCGUUCUUCUUUCGGACCGUUCGUCUCAACGAACGUGAUCACCGAUUGUUUCCCGGUUAAUGAACGUCCGUCCG
rnacentral:rRNA from 1 species